GAGAGAGAGGAAGGAAAAAAGGAGAGGAAGUUAGGGUUUGGGAGAGAGGAAGAGCAGAGAAGACAAACUGCCAUUGGAGAUCGAAUCCAAGGCAAAAAACUUCGAAGCAAUACUUCUCUCAGGGCUGGAAAAGGAGUUUGGGUGGUGGAUCCACUCAUUCCGGCAAGAAAAUUCGAGAACGGACAAAAGAGAAGCGUCGGCUGGCGUACGGAGGAGAGAGGAGGAACCGUGAUCGACAUUUGGCGAACUGCGGCUGGAGAGGCGUGUCCCACAUGCUAGGCGACACGCGUCAGGGCGCGGAUUCAAGUCAACUCGAGUCCGAUCAUGCGCUCCGCACACGAACAGAAUCGCCGCGAGAGCGCUCCGACCUGUCCGAACUGCCCCGUCUCGACCCGCGACUGUACAGAAUGGAGCACGUGGGUACGCGCGCGUAGAAUCCGCGCGGUUUACACCCUUCAGAGAGCGUCGGCGCGUGUAGGCGCGACCUAUCAAGGAAAUUCCAGAAUUUUUGGAACCUUUUCUGACAAAUAAUUUGAGCUUGAGAAGGCACGCGUCAACCAUGUACCAGUCGAUACAGGGAGGUGUUCGAGAGUUGCACUGUCACAGAGGGGUGUCGUUCCGGAGCGUCAGUCCCUUGUCGGUCUU